CAGCAGCCGCGGUAAAACGAAUGGGGCUAGCGUUGUUCGGAUUUACUGGGCGUAAAGGGCGCGUAGGCGGACUGAUAAGUCAGGGGUGAAAUCCCAAGGCUCAACCUUGGAACUGCCUUUGAUACUGUUUGUCUUGAGUUCGAGAGAGGUAAGUGGAACUGCGAGUGUAGAGGUGAAAUUCGUAGAUAUUCGCAAGAACACCAGUGGCGAGGGCGGCUCACUGGCCCGGAACUGACGCUGAGACGCGAAAGCGUGGGGAGCAAACAGGAUUAGAGACCCCUGUAGUCCCUGUCUCUUAUAC
rnacentral:rRNA from 1 species